rnacentral:rRNA from 1 species
AUUGAACGCUUGCGGCAGGCCUAACACAUGCCAGUAGAACGAGUGGCGGACAGGUGGGUAAUGUCUGGGAAACUGACCGAUGGAAGGGGAUAACUACUGGAAACGGUAGCUAAUACAGCAUACCAUCGGAUGUUCCCAGAUGGGAUUAGCUAGUAGGUGGGGUAACCGCUCACCUAGGCGACGAUCCCUAGCUGGUCUGAGAGGAUGACCAGCCACACUGGAACUGUGACACGGUCCAGACUCCUACGGGAGGCAGCAGUGGGGAAUAUUGCACAAUGGGCGCAAGCCGGAUGCAGCCAUGCCGCGUGUAUGAAGAAGGCCUUCGGGUUGUAAAGUACUUUCAGCGAGGAGGCGUGACUCGCAGAAGAAGCACCGGCUAACUCCGUGCCAGCCGCCGCGGUAAUUC